CCUCCUUUCUCCUUUCUCAUUUCUCCUGAUUCCUCACACUUUCAGACUCUUCUCUCUCGCAAGCUCUCUCGCAAAACACUAUCUCCGCACUCCUUCUUCCCUCUGUUGCCUGGCGCUGCAUCUCUUCCUCCUCCUCCAUUUCCUCUCUCUCCGGCAGCCUCGACGCCACAGACCGAGCAACCAGGGUUUAUUUGGCAACCAACGAACGAGUGAAGGCGACCACAGGCUUGAUCUCAUCGAUUAGGAUUAUGUUACUUAAAGCUGCUGCUUUCGUCGUUCCAACUUCCAAGACACUUCCUUCUCCACCUACCAUUUAGCUCAUAUACAGCAUAAACAUCCGAACUGCUAUCUCUCAGUCUCAAUCUCAAUCCGUUGCUGUCUUUCUACUUUGCUCUGGUGAACUUUGGUAUUGAUGGCAAAGAAGGAGGCAUCUUUGUCAAAUCCUACAACUACAUGGAAUGCCCACAAUUUAUCUAUAUUUUGUAAUGUAUGCAUCAAGAAAUUGGCCUAGGGUGGAAUUCGAGCAAAGGUACAAUUGAUGCCUCUGAGGAGUGGUGGAAUAAUAAAAUUCAGAUAAACAAAGAAUAUGGAAGAUUGAGAAAAAAAGGGCAUUAGUCCUGAGAUGGAGGACAAGUUAGAUAGGAUGUUCUCGAACACAAUUGCUACUGGUGAACAUGCUUGGACACCUUCAUCUGGAGUACUACCACCAAAGACGAGAGGAAUCUAUAGGACAAAUUGAUUUAGAUGAUGAGGAAGAAAGUGAGACCAUGCAGGAUCUAAGGCAAGCUACUACGAAGGGAAAAAAAGAGCGGCUAACCAAGGAGAAUUGCAAAAGAAGAAGGUUGAUAAGAAAGGGAAAAAAAUUGGAGGUGCUACAAAACUUUGUGGUCAAAUUGACCGUCUUGUUGAAGCUUAUGAAACUAGGAGUUCUGCAAAUUCAUUGAUGAGGCCGUUGCAUAUAGGCUGUAGUAUUGCGGAAGUGAUAGCGUCUAUUGCACAAUUGCUUGAUUUUGAGCCACCUAGCGAGUUAUGGUUGUUUGAUACAUGUUUAUUUUGUAGUGCAGAGAAGCGAGAGGUGUUUGCCACUAUGAAAGAUCCUGAAGUCCAGCUGACUUGGUUGAAAUAUAUGUUCAACAAACAACAAUAAGGAGCUAAAACUAUGAACUAGGACUAUCUGCAGUUUGUACUUUACAUUAAGAUUAUGUGUUGAAUGUUGCUUGUAAUUUGUGUUUAUUGGAUGUUGGAUUAUGAUUUCUUAUUAAAUGUUGGAUUAUUCUUAAUGUUUAGGGAGGUAUUCUGAAUGUGAUCGUCAUUUUGAUGACCCCAGGGACUUUUGUGAAGAGAGCGAUAGUAGUGAUGAUGAUGAUGAAUAAUACCAAAAUUAUCAA